UUGACAUCAAUAUACACCUGUUGCCCGCCCGGGAACUACGAGCAUUAGCUUGAAACCCAAAGGACUUGGCGGUGCUUUAGAUCCACCUAGAGGAGCCUGUUCUAGAACCGAUAACCCCCGUUCAACCUCACCCUUCUUUGUUCAACCCGCCUAUAUACCGCCGUCGUCAGCUUACCCUGUGAAGGAUAUAUAGUAAGCAAAAUUGGUACAACCCUAAACGCCAGGUCGAGGUGUAGCGUAUGGAAGGGGAAGAAAUGGGCUACAUUCUCUGAUACAGAGAAAACGAAUGAUAUUCUGAAACGAAUGUCUAAAGGAGGAUUUAGCAGUAAGCAGGAAAUAGAGCGUCCCGC
rnacentral:rRNA from 1 species